UACGGAGGGAGCUAGCGUUGUUCGGAAUUACUGGGCGUAAAGCGCACGUAGGCGGCUUUGUAAGUUAGAGGUGAAAGCCCGGGGCUCAACCCCGGAAUUGCCUUUAAGACUGCAUCGCUUGAAUCCGGGAGAGGUGAGUGGAAUUCCGAGUGUAGAGGUGAAAUUCGUAGAUACUCGGAAGAACACCAGUGGCGAAGGCGGCUCACUGGACCGGUAUUGACGCUGAGGUGCGAAAGCGUGGGGAGCAAACAGG
rnacentral:rRNA from 1 species